AUUGAACGCUGGCGGCAGGCCUAACACAUGCAAGUCGAGCGGAUGAAUGGAGCUUGCUCCUGGAUUCAGCGGCGGACGGGUGAGUCAUGCCUAGGAAUCUGCCUGGUAGUGGGGGAUAACGUCCGGAAACGGGCGCUAAUACCGCAUACGUCCUGAUGGAGAAAGUGGGGGAUCUUCGGACCUCACGCUAUCAGAUGAGCCUAGGUCGGCUUAGCUAGUUGGUGGGGUAAAGGCCUACCAAGGCGACGGUCCGUAACUGGUCCGAGAGGAUGAUCAGGCACCUUGGAAGUGAGGCACGGUCCCGACUCCUACAGGAAGCAGCGGUGGGGAAUAUUAGACGAUGGGCGAGAGCCGGAUCCAGCGAAGCCGGGGGUGGGAAGAAGGUCUUCGGAUGGGAAAACGAUUUAAGUUGGGAGGAAGGGCAAUAAGUUAAUACCUUGCUGUUUUGACGUUACCAACAGAAUAAGCACCGGCUAACUUCGUG
rnacentral:rRNA from 1 species